rnacentral:rRNA from 1 species
UACAGAGGGUGCAAGCGUUGUUCGGAAUUAUUGGGCGUAAAGAGCUCGUAGGCGGCUUGUCACGUCGAUUGUGAAAGCCCGAGGCUUAACCUCGGGUCGUGCAGUCGAUACGGGCUAGCUAGAGUGUGGUAGGGGAGAUCGGAAUUCCCGGUGUAGCGGUGAAAUGCGCAGAUAUCGGGAGGAACACCAGUAGCGAAGGCGGCUCGCUGGGCCAUUCCUGACGCUGAGACGCGAAAGCUAGGGGAGCGAACAGG